rnacentral:rRNA from 1 species
ACGUAGGGUGCAAGCGUUGUCCGGAAUUAUUGGGCGUAAAGAGCUCGUAGGCGGUUUGUCGCGUCUGCUGUGAAAACUCGGGGCUUAACUCCGGGCCUGCAGUGGGUACGGGCAGACUAGAGUGCGGUAGGGGAGACUGGAAUUCCUGGUGUAGCGGUGAAAUGCGCAGAUAUCAGGAGGAACACCGGUGGCGAAGGCGGGUCUCUGGGCCGUAACUGACGCUGAGGAGCGAAAGCGUGGGGAGCGAACAGGAUUAGAUACCCUGGUAGUCCACGCCGUAAACGUUGGGCGCUAGGUGUGGGGCUCUUUCCACGAGUUCCGUGCCGCAGCAAACGCAUUAAGCGCCCCGCCUGGGGAGUACGGCCGCAAGGCUA